ACUCCUACGGGAGGCAGCAGUGGGAAUAUUGCACAAUGGGGAAAGCCCAUCGAUGCAGCCAUGCCGCGUGUGUGAAGAAGGCCUUCGGGUUGUAAAGCACUUUCAGUAGGGAGGAAGGUAGUGUAGUUAACACCUGCACUAUUUGACGUUACCUACGAAGAAGAGCACCGGCUAACUCCGUGCCAGCAGCCGCGGUAAUACGGAGGGUGCGAGCGUUAAUCGGAAUUACUGGGCGUAAAGCGCAUGCAGGCGGCCUGUUAAGUCAGAUGUGAAAGCCC
rnacentral:rRNA from 1 species